UAGAAGGAAAUUAAUUGAUGCAAAUCCAGAUAAAGUACACAACGCAUGGAAUGUGAUGCAUUUAAUAUUUCCAGUAGUUAGUACGACGUUUGCAAGCUUUAAAUCUAUGUAUGGGGGCAUACCAAAAGAUUUCAUAGACUACUUAUUUAUUGAUGAAGCAGGACAAG
rnacentral:sRNA from 1 species